ncrna:unclassified sequences RAGATH-18 RNA
CCUGUGGAGUGUUAUAUCAAACUGUAGUAGCUUAGGCAAGGCAGGACACGCUGAAACAGGAA